rnacentral:rRNA from 1 species
CAUUACUGACGCUCAUGGACGAAAGCCAGGGGAGCGAAAGGGAUUAGAUACCCCUGUAGUCCUGGCCGUAAACGAUGAACACUAGGUGUCGGGGGAAUCGACCCCUUCGGUGUCGUAGCUAACGCGUUAAGUGUUCCGCCUGGGGAGUACGCACGCAAGUGUGAAACUCAAAGGAAUUGACGGGGGCCCGCACAAGCGGUGGAGUAUGUGGUUUAAUUCGAUGCAACGCGAAGAACCUUACCAGGGUUUGACAUCCUGCGAACCUCUUAGAAAUUUGAGGGUGCCUUCGGGAAUGCAGUGACAGGUGGUGCAUGGCUGUCGUCAGCUCGUGUCGUGAGAUGUUGGGUUAAGUCCCGCAACGAGCGCAACCCACGUUUUUAGUUGCCAGCAUUUAGUUGGGCACUCUAGAAAGACCGCCGGUGAUAAACCGGAGGAAGGUGUGGAUGACGUCAAGUCAUCAUGCCCCUUACACCCUGGGCUACACACGUACUACAAUGCUACGGACAAAGGGCAGCAAACUCGCGAGAGCUAGCAAAUCCCAUAAACCGUGGCUCAGUUCAGAUCGUAGGCUGCAACUCGCCUACGUGAAGUAGGAAUCGCUAGUAAUCGCAGGUCAGCAUACUGCGGUGAAUACGUUCCCGGGCCUUGUACACACCGCCCGUCACACCAUGGAAGUUGGCCAUGCCCGAAGUCGUUACUCCAACCCUAGUGGAGGAGGACGCCGAAGGUGGGGCUAAUGACUGGGGUGAAGUCGUAACAAGGU